rnacentral:rRNA from 1 species
AGCGAACGUUUGCGGCGGGCUUAACACAUGCAAGUCGAACGGGCUGUUCCUUCGGGGGCAGUCAGUGGCGCACGGGUGCGUAACACGUAGGUAAUCAACCCUCUGGUUGGGGAUAACACUUCGAAAGGAGUGCUAAUACCCGGUAUGGCGCAGCGGUCUUCGGAUCGCGGCGAGAAAGACCCGCAAGGGUUGCCAGAGGACGAGCCUGCGGCCCAUCAGCUAGUUGGCGAGGUAACGGCUCACCAAGGCGAAGACGGGUAGCUGGUCUGAGAGGAUGAUCAGCCACACUGGAACUGAGACACGGUCCAGACUCCUACGGGAGGCAGCAGUGGGGAAUAUUGCGCAAUGGGCGAAAGCCUGACGCAGCCACGCCGCGUGAGCGAUGAAGGCC